UAGACAUUGCAGAAGCGCAUGCGCAAAUCUUGCGAAUUGCACCGUUCUCCUCCCGCCGCCAAGGUGCACUGUAUACUGCGUGCACCGCAUUAGAUGCAUUUCUAAGUCGGCUCGUAAUAAAUCGCAUAAAUAUUAUACGAUUUUCGUGUUUCGCCGCGAUUGCGAGCUAUUUUAUCAUACCCGUAUACAUAUAAUACGGAUUAUUUAUCGUAUACAAGUUAAAUGAAACGUUAUUUAAUCAAUUUUUAAUUUCCGAUAUUCAUCUGUGAAUUAUUUACAUGCGAAUGUCUGCGUCGAAGCUUACUUCGAUCGGUGAUUUUGGGCCUCCGAUUCUAUAUCAUUAUCGACGAUCACGAUCAAGGAUUAAUCUAUUCGAUCGUUACUCAAUCGCGAUUAUUUUUCGGGUGUAAACUGCACUGCAGAAGAUUCAAUUCGUCGACGAGACUCCCGUUUUAUUUUCACUAAUUUUCUCCUCCUAUCGAUUGACUGGCAUUUUUUUUAUCUUUUUUUUUUUUUUUUUUUUUCUCAAAUCUUCUUCAUCGUGAAAUUGAUUCGAUGAAGUCGAGGAACGACGGGACAAGCGCGUCGCGCUGGCGUUCGCCACCCCCACCAUUGUCGUACGGCCAAAACAAGUUUUUUACUAUUUUUGAUUUCUGGCGAAGAACUGCCUGAAGAACAAUUCAAAUAAUUUCGCGUCUUCGGCCCGUUCGCCGGCGAUUUAACCGCUACUUCAUUAAUAAUUUGUAACUUCACGACCUGCGACUCAUCGCUGCAGCUGUCCAGAGCGUUUAAUAGUAGUCGGUUCGAACGCGGUGCGGUCAAAGUUUAAUUUUCUUUCUAUUCCUUCAAAUUUUGCCGAAGGAAAAAACGAAUAAUUCUCAUCGAAUUCAAGCUGCAUUAAAAAUAUAUACAUUCAUAUUCGCCAUGCAAAGUGUUUGAUGUUAUCUCAUAAUAUGAUGAAAAGAUGUAAGUGUGUCCGCCGAACGUAAAUAUAAUCUCGAUCAAUAUUGAAUAAAAAAAAAAAAAAAAAAACGAUCAAAAAUCGUAAAAAAUAAGAGAAGAAGAAGAGAAUCUAGGAUCGUAAAAAUGGUCGACAUUCUCAGCCAAUAAUAUACAGAUAUAUAAAAUUUAUCGUUGGCAUCGUCUGCGUCGUCGCGUACCAGUAGUCGCUGAUGGGAAAAGAAAAAUUGAAGCGUAAUAGAAGAAAACUGUUGAAAAAACGGAGCACUCGGCGUUGUCUAAAACUAGUUGAAGAAGAAACUGAUCGUUUUAAGACUGCAUCGCUUUGCUGCUAAAAUGGAACGCUUGUGGACGCUGUGAAACACCGCUCUUGUAACUCUCGCUAUAUUGAUCUCGAAAAUUGAUCAGUUUUCUGAAAUAAAAAAUUGUCAGGCAGAUGCGUACGAAUUAGGGUUUCCCUUUUUUUUUUUCUUCUUUUUCACGUUUUCGCAUACUCCCUCGCUUUGGUAUAGGAUAUGAACACGAACGAUACAUAUAUAUUCCCAUGA
rnacentral:lncRNA from 1 species